rnacentral:lncRNA from 1 species
GAAAAAUGAUAGACCUCUGGGCUGUCCUAAGUCAAGCUUAGUCAUAAUUGGUACAGAUGAGACAUAGGGAAGUGAUGUAAAACUGUCUAUAUAAGGCAUGUCACUUCCUCUCUACUCCUCUUUCCCUGGAGAGGAGACUCUGGCUGAGAGUGUGCUAGGCAUUUUGACAUCUUGGAGUUUUGGUGGGAUGGUCAGAGUUAGUGAGAAAUGAAAAAUGAGACCAAGGGAAGGUCGAGAAGAAGAGAACUAAUGUUCAAAUUUUAGCUCACUCUGAUCUGUUGCCUGACAAAGAGUUCCCACUGCAUGUGCUAAUGGGGGACUAGAGGAGCAGCAAAGGAUGGAAAAUGAGCAUGCGAUUAGCCAGAAUUGAUCAGGAUCAAUCACUGGUGCCCCUUGGGGAGAUACACAUUUCUGUCCUGGAACAGAAUGCUAGUCUUUUUCGAGUUGUUGCUACCUGUCACAUGGAGCUCUUCAAUGAAAGCAAGGAGAUGCUUCAUCAGUCAAAAGCCCUGCUUCACAGGAACCCUAAAGGACAGAUAGCCCAAGUACUUCUGCUCAUACAUGAAUGGCACCUGCUGCCAACUUUUGAUUAG